UCGAACUUCGAGGAUAGUGGCGGACGGGUGAGUAACGCGUGGAUAACCUGCCUAACAGCCUGGGAUAACGCCGGGAAACUGGUGCUAAUACCGGAUACGCUCCUUGGACUGCAUAGUUUGAGGAUGAAAGGGGAAACCCGCUGAUAGAUGGGUCCGCGUCCCAUUAGCUAGUUGGAGGGGUAACGGCCCCCCAAGGCGACGAUGGGUAGCCGGCCUGAGAGGGCGAUCGGCCACACUGGAACUGAGACACGGUCCAGACUCCUACGGGAGGCAGCAGUGGGGAAUCUUCCGCAAUGGGCGCAAGCCUGACGGAGCAACGCCGCGUGAGUGAAGAAGGUUUUCGGAUUGUAAAACUCUGUCCGGGGGGAAGAAACAAAUGACGGUACCCCUGGAGGAAGCCCCGGCUAACUACGUGCCGGCAGCCGCGGUAAAACGUAGGGGGCGAGCGUUGUCCGGAAUUACUGGGCGUAAAGGGCGUGUAGGCGGCAAAGUAAGUCCGUAGUGAAACCCGACAGCUCAACUGUCGGCUUGCUAUAGAAACUGCUUGGCUUGAGUGCAGUAGAGGGGAGUGGAAUUCCCAGUGUAGCGGUGAAAUGCGUAGAUAUUGGGAGGAACACCAGUGGCGAAAGCGGCUCCCUGGCCUGUAACUGACGCUGAGGCGCGAAAGCGUGGGUAGCAAACAGGAUUAGAUACCCUGGUAGUCCACGCCGUAAACGAUGGGUGCUAGGUGUUGAAGGUAUCGACCCCUUCAGUGCCGCAGUUAACGCAAUAAGCACCCCGCCUGGGGAGUACGGCCGCAAGGCUGAAACUCAAAGGAAUUGACGGGG
rnacentral:rRNA from 1 species